UCACAAAUUGCCUUAUUAAGCGACGCAAUAGACCUGUUAUUUGCAUCACAUAUUACAGAUGCGCGAUGCAGUAAUAUCUUUUCUUUUUCUUUUUAUUUUUCCUUUUCUUUUUCUAAUUUUUUUUGGUGCAACACCGUCAUUCUUAUGACCUAAAAUGCUAAGCCCUUUUCCGUCUCCCCUCUACCCCCUUUCUCUUGCAUAUUCUCUUUCCCAGAUCUUCAUUGUUGAAAAUCCAAAACCUCUGUCUCUCCUUAAAAAAAAUUAAGUAUUGAGCUUGCCCUUCAAAGCCUUCUUUCACCAUACCAUCCCAAUCUCUCCAUUUUCUUUGAAAACUCAAGCUAUGCUGAUUUGGUAUUCAGAGGCAAAACCCUAGGUUCCAGCGGAGCGACGAAGAAUAGCAUAAUUUGAGGAGCUGAUUCUAUCUCCUCUCCUCGCUCUUCCUUUGACUUGUUCAAAUUUCUGAUUUCUGGAGGCUAAAGUUUGACGAUUCUUGGAAAAAUCAAAGAAAAAAACAUGCAUAUAAGAUAAUGAUGAGGAUGAUGCAGCAAAGGCUUGCGAAGGAAAAAUCACUUUGAUGAAGAAGCAAAAAUUUCGUCACUUAAGAUCUGGCAACAAUGAAAUUUUGCAGCCUCCCAAGAAAAUUCGUUGACAGGGCACUGACGUGUCUCUGAAGGAUCUUGACUACCUUUUGUCUCUACUUGAGGAAAAGAAGAGAAAGAUGGCCGGAGCAAGAAGAAGCUAGGGUUUGAAGCCAGUAAACUCGCUAAGAAUACAAGGAAAUGGUUAAGAUUGAAGCCAGUAAACUCGCUAAGAAGCAUCCACGUGUCUUGCAGAUGGAAUGAGCUACUAGGACGGUGGUUGACUGGUACUUUCAUUCCGGCAGAAAUAUUAAAAGUACAAGAGGUUGUGUCAAUGAGAUCAAUCAGUAUAUUUCGCAACAUAAUCAGCUUUUGUUGGAUCACAUAACUGACCUUUGGAGCUCUCUGAUGCCCAGUUUGUGUUCUGUGAUGUUUACCAAGGCUUCAUGCGUAUCUUGUCCAACCCUAAACACUAUGGCAUCAAGGAAACAAGAGGAGCAUGUUGUGGAAUAGGGUGGCAUGGAGCAGCAUCGGGGUGCGACACCAUGGAGAUGGUUUGCAACCAAAGUACAGCUCAUGUAAUCCUUCUAAGGCCGUCAAUUAUCUGCUGGUCGACUCUGCCUGGUUCGGUCAUCCAUUGGGUGACAUCUUUCAUCCCUUGAGCGUCCGAGCACUGGUGAACAUAGCUUCAGCAGCAGCAGCAGCAGCAGGUGUUCUGGCAACAACAGUUAUCGAUUACAAGCUAGAAGCAGCAGCAGCAGUUCUGGCAGAAGUAGAAAGCAGCAAUUCUGGCAGCAGCCAGUUGAAACAAGAACAAAACCAAGCCAGCCUAAAGAGUGUUUAUUUUCACCAGUUGCUGGACUUUCUUGAAGUUCUCUGCCUUAACUGUGACUAUCACCGUUGGUAAUGCAUCCCAUCUUUGUAUUGAAAGUCAUAUCUUGAUUUGUCAUAGAUUUGAUUUCUAACAUCUUCCAUUUUUAUAUCCAGGAUAGAGAUAUUUACUUAAACUUUUAUGUUUAAAGUGUAGUUAGGUUAUCAACAUGUUGGUUGAUCUAUGGUGAAUUUGCCUUUUAUUGGGUUGUAAACUGUUUUGACAGGUAUAUAUUAAUGUAUUAUAACAUUCCCGGUAUUGGGGAGGGUCAAAUUACAAAGGAAAUAUUGUCAAAAUUUUCACCUAGUUUACUUUUAUUUUUAUGCUCUGAAUAUACUAGUACUGAAAGCUGCUUAUUUUAUUUAAUCUAUGGAUUAAAUAAAAUCAGCAGCUCAUUUUUUUUAGAAUAUCCAAAAGUCAUUUGCGUCGCACUUUAGCUAAUCUGCGACGCAAAUGACAUUUUUUUUAACAUAUUGA